AAAGUCGUAACAAGGUAACCGUAGGUGAACCUGCGGUUGGAUCAUUAACAAAUAAGUCUAGGCCCUGGUUGCCCCAAAAGGGCGAAAGGGAGGAAACCUAAACAUUUGUGUGCACCAUAUCUGUUUUUGGCAGUUCGAGUGUCCCGAGAUUGCGUAACUGCCUCGGGUACCUACCGAGACAGGCUUUUGGGCUUGUUGGAGGUUGGGCUGCCGCCCACUUUGAACUAACCUUUGUUUUUUUUUAUUGUCUGAAAUUGUUUGAUCGUCAAUGAUUAAAUUUAAAUACAACUUUUGACAACGGAUCUCUUGGCUCUC
rnacentral:misc_RNA from 1 species